CAGUAAAAAUGCUCAAAUGUCUUGGUUAAAACCAGUUAAACCUUUUUUUUAUUCUUUCAACUGGAUAUCAAGGCUUGAGGUUGCAAACAGACUGUGGGGUGGAGCGGUGAAGAUAGCUUCAAGCUUGACAGUGUUGAAUGUAAUGCAUGUAUUCAAAUGGUGGUGCACAUAGUAAUCCACUAUCCACCACUCCAUAUAAUUACAUGCAUUACAUGCAACACUCCAAGCUUGAAGCUUCCUUCACCGCUCUACUAUUUUUGCACCCAAAAUUAUUCACUUCAAUAUGUCUUGUUGAAAUGAUUUUUAAAUGCUUUACAGGCUUCAAAGAUCGAAAAACAUGUUGAUGAUCUACUUAUAAAAGCUGUGAUAAAAGAUCAGUACUUGCUGAAAACGAAGCUAGCAGCUUUCAAGAUUGAAAUACAGACUCGUAAAUACAAAAUCUCCCCUUAUGGCUUCUUUUCACUGAACAUGGACUUCUACACUUCGAUUCUGACAGUAUUGGCUUCAAACUGUGCAAUGAUCCUACAAUUAUUCUCCUCUGAAAUUCAUAAAACUUGAUAAUAGAUAAUGAAGUUUGUUUGAGAGAUAUAGUAGUAAUCUUAAGAAAUGGGGAAAGAAGCCUAUUUGUUGAAGAGUCCAACUAUACUGUACUAACUUUUUUUAUUUACUUUGUCGUCUAUUAUCUACUCUUAAAAUAAUUGUAAUAAAUCUUUUAUGUACCGUAGUUCAAGACUAUGAUGAGUGAUUCAGUCGCUUAUUAUUAUAAGCUUCCUUAUUUUGUAAAAACUAGGUUUACAAGCAUCCUUAUUCAACCAAAAAACAAAUGUCAACGUUGAAAAGACGAUAUUGUGUUACCUAGGGAGAAAUAACUAAUCUUCAAAUACUUAUAACUCAA